AAGGUAGCCGUAUCGGAAGGUGCGGCUGGAUCACCUCCUUUUGAGUAUGGUGAAUAUAAUUGUCUUAUCAGGCGUCCUCACAAGUUACUUGCAUUCAGGGUUUGAUGUUGGCAUAGGUUUGGGUUUAUGUUGGCGAUUUUUGUUCUGGGGGCCUUAGCUCAGCUGGUAGAGCACCUGCUUUGCAAGCAGGGGGUCGUCGGUUCGAUCCCGACAGGCUCCACCAUGAAAGUAUUUAUGGGUCUGUAGCUCAGGUGGUUAGAGCGCACCCCUGAUAAGGGUGAGGUCGGUGGUUCGAGUCCUCCCAGACCCACCAAUGUUAUAUCAAUUAUUCUGAAUGUGGUUUGCGCAUUUUUUAUGCUUAUCAGCCUUGGAGCUGUGAAGCGUUCUUUUAUAAUUUGAUGAUGUAGCAAGCGUUUGAACUUUUUAUUAAUAAUUUCUCAUUGGAAGCCUUAAGUGACAAUGUUUAUCCAUUGUCUUGUAGAUUUUGAGGCGACUUUGGGUUAUAUGGUCAAGCGAAUAAGCGCACACGGUG
rnacentral:misc_RNA from 1 species